UGAGGUUGGGGAUUUUCCUGAAGUGACUCCUCUUAUUUGGAUUGUAUUAGGGAUGGGGGUCUCUAUCGAGGUUUUCUAAGCUUCGGAUCGCUACCGUGAUAUCAGUGCACACUUUUCCUUUGGUCUGACCUUCGAUACUGUUGGGGGCAUCGCGUUUUGGUCCCCAUGAAAUCAUGUAGACUCUUUUAUUUGGUGCUGGAGGUGUAGAGCUUGGUGAUUCAAGCUCGGUUUCUCUAUUUUUUUUUAUUUGAAGAGCCUUUAGUUUUCCGGUUGGCUUUUGGAGUUGUUGGCGCUUCUUCUUCUUCGAUAUCUUCGCUGGUUUCUUUAGCUUUGACUGCGAAGUGCUG
rnacentral:lncRNA from 1 species